UACAGAGGGUGCAAGCGUUGUUCGGAAUUGUUGGGCGUAAAGCGCGUGUAGGCGGUCCGAUAAGUCGGCUGUGAAAGUCCAGGGCUCAACUCUGGAAUGCCGGCCGAUACUGUCGGACUAGAGUCCGGAAGAGGUGAGUGGAAUUCCCGGUGUAGCGGUGAAAUGCGCAGAUAUCGGGAGGAACACCAAUGGCGAAGGCAGCUCACUGGGACGGCACUGACGCUGAGACGCGAAAGCGUGGGGAGCAAACAGG
rnacentral:rRNA from 1 species